rnacentral:rRNA from 1 species
ACUGGCACUUGGAGAGUGGCAAGUCUUCCAGUAUGGGGAGCAAAACAGCUAUGGGUCAAGCCCGAUAUCUUUAGGAGAAGUCUUAUUGUGAGGGCGAGUUAUAUAACACCAUAGGACUGGCCGUCCCAUAUGAAAAGAUUAUAUUAGAAUUGAAUGAAGCUUUGUUUAUAUAUUGAUAAUGACAGUAUAUAUAUCGUGUCUUGACUAAUUGCGUGCCAGCAGUCGCGGUAAUACGUAAGAGACUAGUGUUAUUCAUCUUAAUUAGGUUUAAAGGGUACCCAGACGGUCAAUAUAGCUUAUAAAAUGUUAGUACUUGACUAGAGUUUUAUGUAAGAGGGCAGUACUUGAGGAGGAGAGAUGAAAUUUCGUGAUACCAAAGGGACUCUGUAAAGGCGAAGGCAGCCCUCUAUGUAAAAACUGACGUUGAAGGACGAAGGCACAGAGAACAAACAGGAUUAGAUACCCAAGUAGUCUUUGCAGUAAAUGAUGAAUGCCAUAGGUUAGAUUGAUCAAUUAUAGUCUAGGGUUAGUCUAGCAAACUAAUGCCCUAUGAUAUAAUUCAAAAUAUCUGGUCUAUAAAUGAAAGUGUAAGCAUUUCACCUCAAGAGUAAUGUGGCAACGCAGGAACUGAAAUCACUAGACCGUUUCUGACACCAGUAGUGAAGUAUGUUAUUUAAUUCGAUAAUCCGCA